UUUUGUUUGUUGUUUGGCAUCGGGUUUAUUUAUUUUGUUGAAUUAUAACAUCAUAAUAAAAUUAGCUAUUGUACUUUCUUGGAAAAUGUGAUAAAAAUACGGGAGACUUUCUAUGACUAACAAGGUCCAGCAUCAGCCAUGCCGAAUAAGGAUCCUAGUCGUAGCCAGGUAGCGGAGAUUAAAGUAGUGCCGGUGGUGCAGAAUGUGACUCCAAGCAAGACUGCAGCUGGAGCCGUCGCUGCAAAAACUAGUGUUGCCAAGGCGACAACUAAAGACAGUGCCAUGUCACCCGGCGCUGCUCCGGCCGCUCACGACAGCAGCGAGCUGCUGGGAUCCCUGACCACGCAGCAGCAGCAACGCACCAGCGCUCGUGUCAUUAAGAAGCUUAGGACUGAACCAGUACCUGACCCUGACAAGAGAGAUAUACCGGAAUGCGACACGCCAAGCAAAAUAGACGAGAAAGAAUUGAAAUUCCCUACAGUCAAACAGCGAAUGCCGAAAGCUCUCUGGUCGGCUGACGAGAAGAGCUUAUUUUUCGAGGCUCUAAACGAGUAUGGCAAAGACUUCGAUGCCAUCACCACCCACGUCUGUGCCAAGAUGAAGAAGAAAGGCAUGCCGGACGUAAAUUUGAAGACGAAGACGCAAGUCAGCCAUUUUUAUUAUAGAACUUGGCAUAAGCUGUCGAAGCAUGUACAUUUUGGCGAAAACGUGAAGAAAGUAGCCCAAGAGCUGUACGCACUAAUAAACUACGGUGAGCUCAGGAAGAAACUGGUCUCAGUCAGCGAGAAGACUUGCGCGCGUCUCCACGAGAUGGUCCUAAGCGGCAGCAUGGUGGUACGCCACCGCGGUCGAAACGUCCGCGUCAGGACCCCUAUGUGUCGGGCGCUGCGAAGGCUGAAUCAGAUCACAGAGCGGUCGCCGCUGGUGGGCGUGUGCGCGCUGGCGAGCGUGUCGGUGCGCGCGCGCUCGGCGGGCGCGUGGGCGCGCGUGCAGGCCGCCGCGCACAACCCGCGCGCCUGCGUGCAGCUCUCGCCGCGCACCAAGCUCGCCGCGCUGCUCCGCGCGCUGGAGAAGCGGUGGCAGGGGAAGGUGAAACGUUAUAAACCGAAGUUAGAGAACAUCGUAGAAAUGGAAGCCGAAGAGCCGGAACCGCCUCGUGCUGAAGACAACGAGGACAACCUUGAAGACCACCUCAACUUGGAGCCCGACAGGAUCAUAGUUCAAGAGCAAAAGCUAGCAAAGCGUCCAGUACUUCACUUGGGGCCACGACCCACGGCCACCGUCAGGUUGCCGGUAGUUCGAGCGAGCGAGCAGCUCUCCAGUCAGAAGAUAUGCUUCUCCAGCUAUCUACAGCGCAUGUAUUCGCAGGACAAGGAGGCCACUAAAAUCCGCACUGCGAAACGUCACCGCAAAGACAGCAGUGAAAAGGACAAGGAGUUAGAGAAACGGCCCAGACUGGAAAGCGAGCCCAAACUCGAUAUCGACGAGACUGCCGUCGACGGCAUCGAGCUCAUGGCCAACUAUAAGACUAAUCAGGAGGACGAAGAAAAGCCAAGCACGGAAGACGAGAAAGAGAUAAAAUCGGAAGAAACCGCCGAGGAAGAAGUUGAUAAGGAAGAAAGAGACAAGUAUAUGUCGGAGCGAGAGAAGGAUAGCUUCUCGGAAAUGGAGGACGAUGAGAAGUAUAUAAAGAGUGACAGUGACAACGAGAGCGAUAAGGAUAAGGGAGAGAAGAAGACAAAGUUUAAGAAUUUAAAGGUGAAAUUCCGCAUUCGGCCCAAGAAAUGUGGCGGCCCCAUCUACACCCUAGUUAACGAGGACGAGCCAAAAACGGAGGAGGUUAAAGAGGAGGACCCUCCUGACAUUGACGUCGACAGCGCCGUCAAACAGAUCAGGAAGGGCUGGAGUGUGUACGAUGCGGGGGAGCUUACUAUCGGGGACUUGUACCUUAUGUUCGGUGCGCGCUCCAAACUGGACCUAGACUAUUGGUGGGCGGAGCCAACCCCGCCCCUGCCCAAAAAGGAGCUAGACAAGACCCCGCCCCAAGAGAAAAGACCAGACCGUGCCUCCGACAAGGGGACCGACAGCUCGCUCGAGGACGAGCGAGAGAGACGGGAGAGUGACUCCGACCUCUUCUCUCCUAAGGCGUCGGGGCAGGACAGCAAUGAUGGCUCGGGGGAUGAACGGAAACCGGAGCUACUAGUUUCGUCGCCAGAACGUAAGCCAAGCCUGAGCAGUCUCAAUCUAGCUAGCAAACUGGUCAACCGGCCAUCACCCGCGCCGUCUGACGACGGCUUCAGCCAAGUUAGCGAGAGAUUGAAACGGCUGCUGGCUCUAGCGGGCAACCCGCACGUGGGCGGCGCGCUGGCUCGCUGCUCAUGCGGCCACGUCUGCUCGCAGAGGAAACAUCCGCCGAAGCCGCCGCUGCUGCAGCCGCCGUCUCCGCGGCCGGAGCCCGUGUUCCGCCACCCCACGCCCAUCGCGCCGAAACCCGCUAACGAGGCGCCGCUAUCGAUGUCGCUGUCGGACUUGCCCCGUUGGCGACGAGGCAGACCGCGCGCCGCCGACCGUCGUGUCGUCGUGCAGCGAUUACUGCCGCUCUUGCCGAAGCUGCCACCGCCUAGCAAUCUGAUCCCGGUGAAGAUAGUCCCGAAUUCGCCUUCAGUGCCGCCGCGUAUCUUGCCCAAACCUCCGCCUACAUCCACUAAUGAUCUGUCGAUGUUCUACGUGCUGAGCGAAUCAAACGGUCAGUUCUUUUUUCACGACGGCGACCGCCGCAUACCCAUUUCGGCGCAGGACGAUAAUGAAGAAGCUGAAGAAGAUAUCCAAGACGAAUCCUAUGAUAGUAAAGAAGAUACAAAAGAGUUCAAAAUCGACAUAACUUCUACGGAAGUCGAGAAACGAGUCAGCAAACCGGACGAUAAUGAAGCUAGCGAGCCGGGCGAACCGAACCAACCGAGUCAUCCGAGUGAAUCAAGUCAGAGUGACAAGCAGAAACCUGAGGGAGAUAUUGCAAACUUCCUUCCAUCGGAAUCUAUGUCGCUGUCUCCGUCGCGCUGCUGGCAGGCGACGGGUGGCUCGCGGGGACUCACGACUUCAGCCUCAGCUCGUUCCUGGGUCAGCUGGAACCGGCGCCUUCAGAACAGGUGGAGUCCCACCUGCAGUCCCUCAUGGCGGAGUCCAGCGUCGACUACGUGGCUAAAUUUGCGGAUCUAGCGGCUGAGGUCACUGACGAGAGACCGCCUCUCGCAUGAACAACAAGCUUAUAUCUCGGUUGUAUGGUUUUGUUGCAAGCCAUCUAUCAUACACCGCACUGACGACAGGCCGCCUGUCACUUGAACAAGCUUAUAUCUCGGUUGUAUGGUCUUGUUGCAAGCCAUCUAUCAUACACCGCACUGACGACAGGCCGCCUGUCACUUGAACAAGCUUAUAUCUCGGUUGUAUGGUCUUGUUGCAAGCCAUCUAUCAUACACCGCACUGACGACAGGCCGCCUGUCACUUGAACAAGCUUAUA